AAGUAAUUUAAAUGAACUUUACCAAAAAUCCCUGCAAGAGCAAGAUCCAUCCAUAAAAUAAUGAAAUCUAUUAGUAUCUCUCACAACAAAAUCUCUCUCUACAAUCUCACUGAUCAGCUUGAAAGCCUCAUGGCAGUCCUUGCACAUUCUCAAGUUCUUCAUCACUCUAAUUGUGAUUCCUUUAGGUAUGGUUAUCAACCCAAAGGCCAAAGCCAAUCUCUCACUGUGCAGACCCACUAUUUCCUCCUUCACCUCUUGUUCCACGUCAACAAACACCAAUCCCGUGCUUCCCCCCACAUAACCCCUUUCCUUCAUUCUCCUCUCCAUCUCCUUGAGCAAACAAAGGACUUCGUUCCCACUUUCAAAUGAUACAUCGCCAGCAUAGAACACAUAAGUUGAAUCCCUAAUCUCAACCCAGCUGCACCCAGGUUCCUUGUGAACUCCAAUUCGCUUCAUUUCAGACCGAAGACUAUGAGCAUUCUCCCAUUCCCCCGCCAAUGCAUAAGUGUUUGAUAAUGUGACAUAUGCGCCUGCUACUUGCUGAUUAGAUUCAAUUAGCCACUUACUGGCUUCAACAGCUAUAUCUAAUCGUCCUUGAAGCCUACUAGCUGACAGAAGCGUACCCCACAAGAGAGCCCCUUCAUCAGGGUUCACCCUAAUAGAUUUUGCUAACUGGUAAGCCUCAUCUAUACGGCCUACUCGACUGAGCAUGUCAACAACACAAGUAUAGUGUUUAGUAUCAGGCAUUAGUCCGUGUUUCUCGUGCAUGGAAUUCAGGUGUUCUAGCCCGUCAUCAACAAGUCCCGAGUGGCUACAUGCAUGCAAAACCCCGAGAAAAGUGACAUCAGUUGGUUUUAUUCUUCUAUCAAUCAUCUCUUGAAAGAGCUGUAGGGAGAGCUUUCCAAGUCCAUACUUUGCUGCACCCACAAUCAUUGAUGUAUAUGAAAUGACAGAAGGAUCUUGAAUUCUCCUAAAAACCUUGUCCGAGUAACUAAAACUUCCACAUUUAGCGUACAUGUCCACAAGUGCGCUUGCAACCACAUCGUUUAAUUCAUGACCUCUACGAAUCACUGCCCCAUGUGUAAUUUUCCCUGAAACUAGCUUCCCCAAGCUUGCACAAGCA
rnacentral:misc_RNA from 1 species